GCCAUUGGGGGCGCUGUGAACUAAAACAACACUUAGUUACCUACUUCUGGGAAGCCAUCUUGGCUCGGACUCCGGGACUGGGGUCACUUCCUAGACCAAGCUACCAUUCUUUCUCAUGUGGACUAUUGCAACUGGGAUACUACUUCAGUCCUUGUUCUCCUCCAGAGUGAUCUUUUAAAAUCUGAUCAAGCCACUUCUCUACUUAAAACUUUAAAAUGCUUCAGGUGUAUUUAUUUAUUAUUAUUUUUAAUCCCCCAUCUCCCAAGCUUCAAUUUCCAUGUAUUUAGAAUAAAAUCCAAAACCCUUACUCAGGCCUCUAAGGUGCUAUAAAAUCUGGUCCCUACCUACUUUUCCAACCUCAUCUUGCACUAUUCCCUCUUGAUUUAGUCCAAUCACACUAGGUUUCUUUCAAUAAACGUGUCAAGCUUCUUCCAA